UACGUAGGGUGCGAGCGUUGUCCGGAAUUAUUGGGCGUAAAGAGCUCGUAGGCGGUUUGUCGCGUCGACUGUGAAAACCUACAGCUUAACUGUGGGCUUGCAGUCGAUACGGGCAGACUUGAGUUCGGUAGGGGAGAUUGGAAUUCCUGGUGUAGCGGUGGAAUGCGCAGAUAUCAGGAAGAACACCAAUGGCGAAGGCAGAUCUCUGGGCCGUAACUGACGCUGAGGAGCGAAAGCAUGGGGAGCGAACAGG
rnacentral:rRNA from 1 species